CCAGACUCCUACGGGAGGCAGCAGUGGGGACUCUUGGGAAAUGGCGGCCCCUCUUACCCCGCCCUGCCGCGUGCCUGCCGAAGGUCUUCGGCUUGUAAAGGUCUUUCAUUGGGGCCGCCACAAAUGACGGUACCCAAGGAAUAAGCCCCGGCUAACUACGUGCCAGCAGCCGCGGUAAUACGUAGGGGGCAAGCGUUGUUCGGAAUGACUGGGCGUAAAGGGUGCGUAGGCGGUGUAGCAAGUUAGAAGUGAAAUACCUAGAGCUUAACUCAGGUGCUGCUUCUAAAACUGCUAUACUUGAGUGCAGUAGAGGAAAGUGGAAUUCCUAGUGUAGCGGUGGAAUGCGUAGAUAUUAGGAGGAACAUCAGUGGCGAAGGCGACUUUCUGGACGGUAACUGACGCUGAGGCACGAAAGUGUGGGGAGCAAACAGGAUUAGAUACCCCUGUAU
rnacentral:rRNA from 1 species